AUGCAAUUCAGAAGUCCCACAGGACUCAAUGCAAAGUUGGGGUUUUGCCUCCUGUGGGGACUGAGGAGAGGUGAGAGAAACAGAGUAAAAAAAAAUAAAAUAAUAAAUCAUUCCUAGAACAACAACUAUAGUUAUGGAUUAUAAGCUAUGAAGUAGACCAAAAAAAGAGUAAGAAGGCUUACCCAAUUACAAAUUACAGUUGUUUGAACACUGAGCAGCUUAAGGGAGCAAACGGUACCAUCAGUCUCAUCCAGAGCUACAAACCACUGCUGAGGUAAAAUCUGUUGGCUGGUAGUAGCAUCAUGAAAAUAUUAAUCCUAGCCGUUAAUCCUUCUGAUUUAUAGGUAUUACACAAAUCACGUUGCUGAUUUUUCUAAGCCUGCUGUUAGGAGUGGCCACGUACCGUUCACCUUCAGAGAGUGGCUUGUUGAGAACGCCACCGAUGGGCUGACUGCCUUGGGAGUGUUUCAGAUGGAAUACAGACUGCAAAAAUUGAGCCUGAAAAUUGCAUCAGAAAUGGGAAUUUCUCAGGUCACGAUGGUGUAUUUGGCAGCAGAAGUGGUGACUCUGUCAUAAAUAACUCUGAUGUUUCUACACCUCUGUUACACCCUUGCUUUUGCGAGUGCUGGAAUUCAGGUGAGUUUGUGGUGGACUGGGGAAUUGACACAGGAAAAAAGUAGUAGCUAUGACUGAAUGACUCCCUGAGAUGUGG
rnacentral:lncRNA from 1 species